UUCUGUGAGUAAGACUCCUACGCAUACAUCUUCACCUAGUCCUUCUAUCACAGCUCCUACACACAAUAAGGUGAAAGAACAUAUACAGAGAGACAUGGAUGGCAUGGGCCUUGGAAACUGCAUGCAAAAUGCAGAGGACGAUGUCCCUACAGCAAGCAGGUCAAUUUCCCAUGAUUCAGAUGUCGUAGCACAGAACACCAUGAGAUUAGACGCACCUACGACUAGUACAAUGAGAUCAGAUGCACCCGCUUUUCGCCCGACAUUCAGUGCACCACCAUCUGAACAGUUCUUAUCACCAAAGCAGGCUCCUACACGCAGGCGAGACCCCUCUCCAACGAGUGAGCCAGACAUCGCAGACUACUAUGAUCCGAAAAUGUUUCAAACCAGACGCAUGACUCGAUCAAUGUCUAUGUACUACCACCCGAAGAUUUACCCUCGGGAAUACCCUUGAGUACCUUUCAUUAGUUUUUGUUCGUGUCUUGUUUAGUGUGAUUGCAUUUCAUCUUCAA
rnacentral:lncRNA from 1 species